ACGAGUUUUAAUUGACCGAUUAGAGUUGAGCUGGUUAACCCAGUUAACAAGUGCUCUUUUAAUCGACCAGUCCACUCAUUACUUAACACUUGUGAACUUAUCUAUUAUAAACAUUAUAACUUGUCAUUGGAACGUUUGAUUAUUAAAAGUUAAUA
rnacentral:misc_RNA from 1 species